rnacentral:lncRNA from 1 species
AGAGAAUAUCUAGAGGAGGAAGAGGAGAGGAGAAAGAGCUUUGAAGAAAAAGUAAACUAGCAAAGGAGAACAUAUGGGGCAUCCACUAUUGGAGCCCCCUUUAUAUAAUAAGGGGAUUAGGGUUUUGGUCAAAAGGAGGGCGCCAAUAGAGUCCACAUCGGACAUCUUUUGGGCAUCUCAAAAUUUUCAAAAUUAAGAGUUGGUAUGGGGAAGG